UACGUAGGGGGGCUAGCGUUGUCCGGAUUUAUUGGGCGUAAAGAGCGUGUAGGCGGCCAGGUAGGUCUGCUGUGAAACCUCCAGGCUCAACCUGGAGACGCCACCCGAUACUGUCGUGACUAGAGUCCAGUAGGGGAGCGUGGAAUUCCUGGUGUAGCGGUGAAAUGCGCAGAUAUCAGGAGGAACACCAGCGGCGAAGGCGGCGCUCUGGGCUGGAACUGACGCUGAGGAGCGAAAGCGUGGGGAGCGAACAGG
rnacentral:rRNA from 1 species